rnacentral:lncRNA from 1 species
UACCUGGAAUCUCAAGUCUCAGGCAAGUUGUGCCCUUGAUCACUUCUUUUUACCCACUCAUGUUCUAAUUAAUCAUAAUGAUCUGCAUAGGUUAAUUUUGAUGGGACCCAAUAGGUUACCCUAGUUUGUCUACCUUUAUACCUUGAUUACCACUGGACUUUUUGGGUAGUACUUGCUAUUGCUUUAUGUGGUUUUGGGUAUGAAGAUACAUUAUUCAUGAUCACACUUUUAUUAUCUGUUUAUUAUUACUGUUCAUGAUAAGAUCAUUAUGUUAAUUGGAACAUGGAGCGACCACCCGGGAAAACAGUGCUACCACAAGGGUUUAAUGGGACGCCCUUGGCCGAUUAAUUAGGAAAGCUAGUGGAAGACUACCUUACCCGAAAGGGGCAAGGGCAGUAGGGGAGUGGUCAGUGUAGGGAGGCCCUCGGGAGGAUUUUGCUGCGAUGGCGGUCCUGCAAGGGAUUCCUGCAUUGGAGCUUCCUAUAAACUGUAGCGGGUUUUCUGAAGCUAGUGGAACUUUGUAAAGGCCUCGUAGUGUUACCAUGCCUCGCCUCCUCGGUAGAGGUGUAUGGGAAGUCGCGAUCCCUUGGCAGAUGGGUAACACGACUUGUGGGUAAAGAUGCGCAACCUCUGCAGAGUGUAAAACUGGUAUACUAGCCGUGCUCACGGUCAUGAGCAGCUCGGACCCUCACAUGAUUAAAUUAUGGAACUUAAAUUCAAUUUGUCAUAUGCAUUGCAUCGCAGGUGAUGUUGUUACUUCUGUUCUACUAUUUAAUUGGGUUGGUAUUUACUUAUACUUAGUAAUUGCUAAUAAAAUUUUGACCAACUUUAAAAGCAAUGCUCAGCUUCAACCAUCCUCUUUGGUAAGCCUUACACUUCACGUGAGCUCCCACCUUUGGCGAGUUCAUGCACAUUAUUCCCCACAACUUGUUGAGCGAUGAACGUAUGUGAGCUCACUCUUGCUGUCUCACACCCCCCCCACAGGUCAAGAACAGGUACCGCAGGAUGUGGCGCUUGGAGGAUGCUGCGAUGUGUUCGUGAGAGGUCUAGGCCGUCGUCUCCCAGUCAACUUUGGGUUGCUGGACCGUUGUCUCCUUAUAAUGUAAAUAUUUAUUUUGUAUAGAACUCCUGUUAUAUAUAAAGAUGUGACAUUCGAUCCUGUGCCAUGAUUCAUCAUAUGUGUGAGACUUGGUCCCAGCACACCUGGUGAUUAUGUUCGCGCCUGGGCUUUGGACCCCUAAAACCCGGGUGUGACAGAAGUGGUAUCAGAGGAAUGUUGACUGUAGGACGAAACCUAGAUAGAACUGGACAACCAUUAUCUACUUACCUUUGCUACUCUGAUUCUUUUCUAAACUUAUCUUAAUCUUCUCUCAUCUAUUUCCGCUUUACUCUGAUAAUUCUUACCUUUUCUUUCUAAAGACAAAUGUGGAUUUCAAACUUUGAAAUCCCGUACCUAAGACGAUCUUUAGGAAUAGGAGACCUACUCGUAGGAAAAAAAACUAUUUUAAUAAAUAUUGAUAUGCUUGUUCUUAUGAUGCUUGUCUGAUUUGGAUCUUUGAUUGAGUGUGAUGGGUUGUGGAGUAAUGUCCACAAUCACAUCUAGGGAAAAAUACUUAAAAAAUAACUAGAUAAACUAGAUUAUCACUCAUUUAAGUAUCUAGCCUAACAAUAUCCAUCUCAUCUCGAAAGAUUCUUUCCUACACUCAUAGAUCCAUCUCCUCUCAAAAGAUCCUAACUUAUCCUAAUCUAGCUUAAUAGAUUUACCUUAUCUUAAGAGAUACUCUAUUGCCUUAAUAGAAUCAUCCUAUCUUUGAAAAGAUCUUAUGUCAUCCAAACAGAUCUAACAGACCUCAAAAGAUUCUACCUUAUCCUUAUGGAUUCAUCUUGCCCUAAUUAGCAUAUUUAUCCCACUCUAGAAUAACAACCAAGAGCAAAAAGAUCUAACUCAACCAGUAGAGUCAUGAUGGAUUGCAUAAUCUGUCAUUCCCCACCUAACUUCAAACAAACUUUUGACCUACAUCAUGUAGUUCAUCUCACCCAUAACUACUUCGACCAUAUGCCCGAACUCUGCUGAUAUACAGUAACCUCGAAUUAAUGAGACCAAGACUGAAAAAAAGAAAAGAUCAACCUCGUCAAGGAAGGAGAGAAGUCGAACUCAAUCUUCAGAUGCAUUACCACCCAACACGAAGUUCUUCCUCAUCAUAAACUUUCUUACCCCUGGCUAUUCUUACCCUAACCUAUCCAUCUCUUAUAUCCUACAUAAUAUGUAGUUGGAUACCUAUGCUCUCCUAAUCACCCACUAUUGUCUAAAAAAAGAUGAGACUCUGGAUUUUUGAACCAAUUAUAGAUUAAAAACCGAAUUACAAACCAAUCCUUUUGUAUCCCUUUUCUUACAAAUCUCGAGGACGAGAUUUCUGUUAAGGGGGGUAGGAUUUGUAAGGCCUAAAAUCCGUAUAAAAAAUUUAAUAAUAAUAAAAUAAAUAUAUGAAGAAAUGAGAUAGUAAAUUCUGACAUCUCAACUUAUGCUUGAGCAAUGAAUGUUGAGGAUUGAAUUUUGAAAACCAAGAACUAUUUUGGAGAAGAAGUAAUAGAAAAGUUUCCUAUUCAACUAAAUGAAUAUGCAUUUUAUUAACUGAUGCACCAUAAGCAUUUAUUUACAUGAGUAUUCACGUUUGGAGUAAUUAUUAACUCAUAUCCCACAUUCAAAAUACUAUUUUCUAAAAAAUAAAGAAAACAAUAUGAGUGUUUAUCAUAAUUCAAACAUAUUCCAAGCAAAUAAGUUAAUUAAAAUAAAUAUGUAUCUAUCGCUUCAUAAUUGAAUUUGAUUAUGAAUUAAAGAUUUGAGUUCUUAAACUUUAUUUUGAUUCCAACUUGAAAUUUGUAAACCAAAUAUAAGAUAGAAAAUAAAUAAAAAAAUGAAUUUGGAGAGGAGGAAAAGUGAUUAGGAAAUAAAUAAGAAAAAGAAGGGAAAAUAGGAAAGCAGUGCAUGGGCUCAUUUUUCCUGGCGCAGCCCACUAUCACCUUCGUUCGGCCCACCAGAAUACCCCCUUGCGUAGCCCAGCUGGUUUUGGCGCCGACAUCACGGGCCCACCGGUCAUCUUCACGCGCUCGCGCUCGUUUCUGUGUGUCGCUGGAUCGUGGGCCCGACUUGUCAGGAUCAUCUCCCCCACUGCCCCACAGUGUUCGCUUGCACGGCGUACAGGAUGGUUCUGCUUGGCCUGCGCGUGUGGCAGGACCCUCUCUGCCAUGCGGGCCAUCCGUGUUUGAGCACUGCUGGGCGGACCCUGUGCUAGCUCUAUUCCCUCCCUAUCUCCUCUCCGCUUCGUGCGCUGGCGGUUGAUGGACGGACUCCGAAGACCUCAGCCGUAACAAGAUGCCGAUCUCGCCGCUGGGACUUCGGCCGCUUGUAGCGGGAUCCCGAUCCGGCCAGGCGUCCAGCGGAGUCCGACCGGGCAGGUUCCCCUGGACUCGGAACCUCGCAGCCGUAUAAAACCGAGGCGUCCCUUUUGCAUCCGUGGCGUCCGCCAUUACCGAGCGCAGAGGGAGAAAGCAGCGUCGCCACCGCGGAAUCCACACCUCGGGGUCAAACCGGUGUCCUGCGUGGCGUCUAGAGUUUUGGCCGAGUUCGGUGGUUGACACUACGGAUGUGUUGGAUCGGGUGAAUCAGUGGUGGCGAGUUAAUUCCUCGCCGGAGCACCAGUCCACCGUGAAUCCGCCUAUCGCCGUGGGCGCUGAUUACCGUCGCUCCUUUCUCGGGUAUGUAACUCCUACUGCGUUCGCCACAUUCCGUACUACGCAUACUCGUCGCCGAUUGGGUUUUGGUCGCCGUAUUGCGCUUGGGUGAAGAUCCGGCGAUGGCGUCCGCCGCGGCUGGGACGGCGCGGGUGCGCUCGGUUCUGGAGGAGGGCGACGGGUCCGUGGCCAUCGGAUCCGUGGACGACGGUUCAGAUUAGAGCGUAGCAUACCAAUUGGGUGGAAGAGCAGAGAAGCGUUUGAUCGUGAUCUAGCGGCUUGGAUUUGAGCGCGCGUUCGGGUAAUACUGACCGUAGAUCUUCAAUCCAACGUAUGGCGGGUUAUACCGGUUCAUUGACUCGUGAAUCUAAUCUGGGCGCUCGGCUUGCGAUCCAACGGCUCAGAUCGCACCGUACCCUUUCGCCGAGCCGAAAUUGUAAAAGAGCCCCUCUACUUUUCAAGAAUCAACCCGCAGUCCAACACUACUGUGCUCUGUGUCUAGGGAAAAUUAGGAUUUGGCCCCUGUGUUAUCUGUAAAUAGUGCGCCCAGUCCUGGGAAUUAUAAAAUCCAGAAAAAGUGAUUAGAGAAUGAUUUUAAUGAGAAAAUAAAUGCUAAAACUUGUUUAAUUCAUAUAAAAUUCAUAUUAAGUCCAAAUAAGUCCAUUCCAAUUUCUAUAAUUUUAUAAUAUUAUUGUUUAUCAAAUAGUGCCACUGAUUUGACAUGAAAGCCACUUUAAAAUUUAUCUCCUAAUUAAUCUUAUACGAAAUACAUAAAACCAUAGGAAAUUCAUAACUCCUCCGUUUUAACUCCGAUUUGAUCCGUUCAAGUUGCGUUAGUCUCGUAGCUUCGCGUAGAUUAUUUUUAUGCAGUGUGUUCUUAUGUUUGGUGUAAUGUUAAUUUUGCCUAUACACUGUUUGUUUGUAUUGCUACGAUUAGCAGUGAGGUCACGAGUCAUCUGAAGAUCCUGGUACCUGGAAUCUCAAGUCUCAGGCAAGUUGUGCCCUUGAUCACUUCUUUUUACCCACUCAUGUUCUAAUUAAUCAUAAUGAUCUGCAUAGGUUAAUUUUGAUGGGACCCAAUAGGUUACCCUAGUUUGUCUACCUUUAUACCUUGAUUACCACUGGACUUUUUGGGUAGUACUUGCUAUUGCUUUAUGUGGUUUUGGGUAUGAAGAUACAUUAUUCAUGAUCACACUUUUAUUAUCUGUUUAUUAUUACUGUUCAUGAUAAGAUCAUUAUGUUAAUUGGAACAUGGAGCGACCACCCGGGAAAACAGUGCUACCACAAUGGUUUAAUGGGACGCCCUUGGCCGAUUAAUUAGGAAAGCUAGUGGAAGACUACCUUACCCGAAAGGGGCAAGGGCAGUAGGGGAGUGGUCAGUGUAGGGAGGCCCUCGGGAGGAUUUUGCUGCGAUGGCGGUCCUGCAAGGGAUUCCUGCAUUGGAGCUUCCUAUAAACUGUAGCGGGUUUUCUGAAGCUAGUGGAACUUUGUAAAGGCCUCGUAGUGUUACCCUGCCUCGCCUCCUCGGUAGAGGUGUAUGGGAAGUCGCGAUCCCUUGGCAGAUGGGUAACACGACUUGUGGGUAAAGAUGCGCAACCUCUGCAGAGUGUAAAACGGGUAUACUAGCCGUGCUCACGGUCAUGAGCAGCUCGGACCCUCACAUGAUUAAAUUAUUGAACUUAAAUUCAAUUUGUCAUAUGCAUUGCAUCGCAGGUGAUGUUGUUACUUCUGUUCUACUAUUUAAUUGGGUUGGUAUUUACUUAUACUUAGUAAUUGCUAAUAAAAUUUUGACCAACUUUAAAAGCAAUGCUCAGCUUCAACCAUCCUCUUUGGUAAGCCUUACACUUCACGUGAGCUCCCACCUUUGGCGAGUUCAUGCAAAUUAUUCCCCACAACUUGUUGAGCGAUGAACGUAUGUGAGCUCACUCUUGCUGUCUCACACCCCCCCAUAGGUCAAGAACAGGUACCGCAGGAUGUGGCGCUUGGAGGAUGCUGCGAUGUGUUCGUGAGAGGUCUAGGCCGUCGUCUCCCAGUCAACUUUGGGUUGCUGGACCGUUGUCUCCUUAUAAUGUAAAUAUUUAUUUUGUAUAGAACUCCUGUUAUAUAUAAAGAUGUGACAUUCGAUCAUGUGCCAUGAUUCAUCAUAUGUGU